rnacentral:rRNA from 1 species
AGCGAACGCUGGCGGCAGGCUUAACACAUGCAAGUCGAGCGCUCGUAGCAAUACGAGAGCGGCAGACGGGAGAGUAACACGUGGGAACGUACCCUUCGGUUCGGAAUAACCCAGGGAAACUUGGGCUAAUACCGGAUACGUCCGUAAGGAGAAAGAUUUAUCGCCGAGGGAUCGGCCCGCGUCCGAUUAGCUAGUUGGUGAGGUAAUGGCUCACCAAGGCGACGAUCGGUAGCUGGUCUGAGAGGAUGAUCAGCCUCACUGGGACUGAGACACGGCCCAGACUCCUACGGGAGGCAGCAGUGGGGAAUAUUGGACAAUGGGCGCAAGCCUGAUCCAGCCAUGCCGCGUGGGUGAUGAAGGCCCUAGGGUUGUAAAGCCCUUUCGGCGGGGAAGAUAAUGACGGUACCCGCAGAAGAAGCCCCGGCUAACUUCGUGCCAGCCGCCGCGGUAA